rnacentral:tRNA from 1 species
ACCCUAGUGGCCUAAUGGAUAAGGCCUUCUAAGCCAGGGAUUGUGGGUUCGAGUCCCAUCUGGGGUG